AGUGGCGAACGGGUGAGUAACGGGUGGAAAACCUGCCCUUCAAUGGGGGAUAACAGUUCUAACGAGCUGCUAAUACCGCAUACGACCUUUCUUCCGCAUGGUGGGAAGGUGAAAGAUGGCCUCUCUUUGAAGCUGUCGUUGAAGGAUGGUUCCGCCUCCCAUUAGCUUGUUGGUGGGGUAAUGGCCUACCAAGGCGACGAUGGGUAGCCGGCCUGAGAGGGUGUCCGGCCACACUGGGACUGAGAUACGGCCCAGACUCCUACGGGAGGCAGCAGUCGAGAAGCUUCCGCAAUGGGCGAAAGCCUGACGGAGCGACGCCGCGUGAACGAAGAAGGCCCUAUGGGUUGUAAAGUUCUGUCAGAUUGGGAAGAAAGUCAUGCGGUUAAUACCCGUGUGAUUUGACGGUACCAUCAGAGGAAGCACCGGCUAACUCCGUGCCAGCAGCCGCGGUAAUACGGAGGGUGCAAGCGUUGUUCGGAUUCACUGGGUAUAAAGGGUGCGCAGGCGGCCUGCUAAGUCAGGGGUGAAAUAUGACGGCUCAACCGUCAAACUGCCCCUGAAACUGGCCGGCUUGAGUCCGAGAGAGGUAGGUGGAAUUCCAGGUGUAGCGGUGAAAUGCGUAAAUAUCUGGAGGAACACCAGUGGCGAAGGCGGCCUACUGGCUCGGAACUGACGCUCAGGCACGAAAGCAUGGGGAGCGAACGGGAUUAGAUACCCCGGUAGUCCAUGCCGUAAACGAUGGGUACUAGGUGUUGGAGGAUUCUACCCCUUCAGUGCCGCAGCUAACGCAUUAAGUACCCCACCUGGGGAGUACGAUCGCAAGGUUGAAACUCAAAGGAAUUGACGGGGGCCCGCACAAGCGGUGGAGCAUGUGGUUUAAUUCGAUGCAACGCGAAGAACCUUACCUAGGCUUGACAUGCAGGGGACAGGUGUAGAAAUACACCCUUCUUCGGACUCCUGGACAGGUGCUGCAUGGCUGU
rnacentral:rRNA from 1 species